UACGGAGGGGGCGAGCGUUAUUCGGAAUUAUUGGGCGUAAAGGGCGCGUAGGCGGCUCUAUAAGUCAAAGGUGAAAUCCCUCGGCUCAACUGAGGAACUGCCUUUGAAACUGUUGGGCUUGAGGCCGGGAGAGGGUAGUGGAAUUCCCAGUGUAGCGGUGAAAUGCGUAGAUACUGGGAGGAACACCAGUGGCGAAGGCGGCUACCUGGACCGGUUCUGACGCUGAGGCGCGAAAGCGUGGGUAGCAAACAGG
rnacentral:rRNA from 1 species